GGACGAUGGCUUCGCUCGACGUCUUGGAGCAAGUGCUGGCUGGGAGGGCUAGGAGGUGGAGCACGGUAUCUACCGUGUCGAUGUCAGUGGAUCUCGGCGGUAUGAUGCAACAAGGUCUCGGGUGGAUGCAGAAUUCCUGGCUCUGUCCCUGGGUGGAUGUGUGUUGCUGGAAGCGUGUCGUGUAGGAGGGUGGCGUUAUCUGGCGUCAUGACGACGUCAAUGGCAGGCCUGACAAGGUCAAUGCUUCGAUCCUGUACUGAAGAUGGUCGGUGAAAGACGACGGCAGUGGUUUCUGGAGCAUGCGCAUACGGUACGCGCUAAGAAUUUGUUGGACCAGUUGGGCUGUCCUCCGAAUUUACAAGAUGUGCGUUGGUGUGUGGUGAGAGCAGACAACCCUGGUCAUGUUCACCCUCUUCAGUUUUAAUGAUGUGCGUUGUUAUGUGAUCAUGGCAGAUGGCUCUGAUCAUGGUCACUCUUUUCUUCAAGCUUGUAGGUGUUGCGACAAUUAUUGUUGUCAGGAAGAUAGUUUUGGUUUAAUCGAUAUAUUAGUUUUGUCUGGUUUGUAAAUAAUAUAAUAGAUGUCGUAUGCAUCAAUUUGAUGCAGACCGGGGGUUUCAAAAAUCUUUUUGAAAAAAGAAAGCAUCACCCCCACGUUGUUAGGUCCAAGAGGCCAACUGGUGCGACACUUAUUUUGGGACGAGAGAGUAUAUCUUAUAUCGUGAAAAAUAAGUUAGUGUCUUAAAAGAGCUCUUGAAAAAUAGACGUGACGACAUCUAGUAGUAUAGUACACAACAAUACAUGCAUAUAUGAUAAAAGAAAAUAUCAUGCGAAUAGAUUGGGAGUUCUGCCAUAUACGGAAAGCAACACAGAGACAAUCAACUAGACAUUACUACCAUGUGAUAUCUAACCAUCAUUCUAAUGAAAUAAAUAGUGCCAAACUGCCACCAUAUACAAGCCAUUGGAAUAGCUUCCUCUAUUCUUCAAAUCAA